CCCUUAGAUGUUCUGGGCUGCACGCGCGCUACACUGAAGCGUUCAACGAGUAUUCACCUUGCCCGGGAGGGUUGGGUAAUCUUUUGAAAACGCUUCGUGAUGGGGAUAGAUUAUUGCAAUUAUUAAUCUUCAACGAGGAAUUCCUAGUAAGCGCGAAUCAUCAGUUCGCGUUGAUUACGUCCCUGCCCUUUGUACACACCGCCCGUCGCUCCUACCGAUUGAAUGGUCCGGUGAAAAUUUCGGAUAGUGACGAUGCUGGCGGUUCGCCGCCGGCGCUGUCGCUAGAAGAUCUUUAAACCUUAUCAUUUAGAGGAAGGAGAAGUCGUAACA
rnacentral:rRNA from 1 species